CUGAUGGAGCACACCGCGUGAGUGAAGAAGGGUUUCGGCUCGUAAAGCUCUGUUGUUAAAGAAGAACACGUAUGAGAGUAACUGUUCAUACGUUGACGGUAUUUAACCAGAAAGUCACGGCUAACUACGUGCCAGCAGCCGCGGUAAUACGUAGGUGGCAAGCGUUAUCCGGAUUUAUU
rnacentral:rRNA from 1 species